GCUGGGAAAUGGGUGGAGGACUAUGAAAUUACUCCCUUAGAGUUAGUCAGAAACAUAGUAAAUUGGGGAGGAGGUGGCUUUUGAGGUAACAAGUAAUAUAGGAAAGAGUAGUAAUAGUUCCUUGCUGACAGGAAGCCAGGGAAGGUGUCUGAGGAGGAUUUAUUAGGGACUGCUAGGGAGACAGCCUAACUAGAAAUUGGCAUUGUAUAAAGCAGGUCUGGGAAACAGUGAAGCAGGGCAGUUUUGGGUCUGCAUCAGACAGCUUUAUGAUUUAAGGAUUCCAGGCUGGGGCUCCCUGAGGGCACCACUGUGAGAUGUGGUGCUGAAAUCUCUGCAAGACAGGGAAGAAAUCUGUGAGCCCUCAACAAGCUACAAAUUACUAUUGGCACCCCAGAAGGCAAAACCACACAGACAUAAAGGAAAGGGGCUGACCCUUCUCAUAGGGUACCUGAAGAUCUGUUGAUGGAGUCCUGCAAUGAGGGCUGAAGUACUCUGCUUUAUUAUUAUUAUAGCCCAUGUGUACCCUGGAAGGGGUGGACUCCUAAUUUGACUGGAGUGCUAAAGCACCAGAUCAUCUGAUGAAAGAAAUUAAUCAGCUGUGCAUCUUAACAAGGAUGUAUUUCAGCUAAGGUCUCUGGAGCUGUAAAACGUAUUGUGGGGAUGUGUACAGAUAAGAAGUGAAUAUUCCCUAAGACUAAAUCACUGCAGCUGAUGCAUGAUUAUUCAUUAGACAAACACAGCUACAGGAAACCUAACUGCAGAAUUCAGUCUGUGGCACUCACCAAAAGAAAACUGCUGACAUGGUCUGCUAACCAAUAAGUAAAUGCAUCAUCCCUCAUGGAAACCAGCAGCUAUGUGGAUCCCCUUUGUGGACCUCCCCUGUGAGAUUGAUCCUGGGAUCAGCUGUCCCAAGGGAUAUUGGCAUUUCCUUCCAUCAAAAGGCAAUGGAUUUGACCUGGAUCUGUAGAAGCCCUGAGAUUUAGAUAUCUGCAGAUAGCUUGGGCAUUUUUACCCUCCACAUUACUGUACCUCCCUCUGGUGGAGUGAAGAUCAAAAAUGAAACACACCAACAUCUACUUUUAUGAUGACUAUCUAUGAAAAUGUGAGUUGCAGAAAGUCAUACUACCAUAAUUAUAGACUUUGUUUUGUGAUAUCUACUUUUGUAAAUACAGUAAAGGGAAGGAAAAAAGGAGCAGCUUUAGCAUAAGGC